CAAUAGCGUAUAUUAAAGUUGUUGCGGUUAAAAGCUCGUAGUUGGAUUUCUGUCGAGGGCGGCCGGUCACCACUAUGUGGUUGUAUCUGGUUCGGUCUUGGCAUCCUCUUGGGGAUCGUUUCUGUGCUUCAUUGCAUGGGGCGGAAUUCAAGACUUUUACUUUGAGGAAAUUAGAGUGUUCACGGCAAGCUUUCGCUUUGAAUACAUUAGCAUGGAAUAAUAAUAUAGGGCGUGAGUUCUAUUUUGUUGGUUUCUAGAAUACACGCAAUGAUUAAUAGGGAUAAUUGGGGGCACUCGUAUUGACGCGUCAGAGGUGGAAUUCUUAGAUUGCGUCACGACGAACUACUGCGAAAGCAUUUGCCAAGGAUGUUUUCAUUGAUCAAGAACGAAAGUUAGGGGAUCGAAGAUGAUUAGAUACCAU
rnacentral:rRNA from 1 species